CGCAAAAAUAUGCUAACAAAAAACAGUAAACUGAAAAAGAAAAUUGCAGAAGAAAAAUAUAUGGAAAAAAAGAAGCAAGAAAAAUAAUUAGGCAGCAUCUUUUCAUAGUGCUUACUUUCUGAUUGAAGUGGUAACAAUUAACCAUUGAGGUGUCUGGCCAGGUGGCACAUAAAGUACGUUGGUCA